AACAUUAGUGUUCGCUGGUGAAAUCUAUACCAAUCCUCUAAGUGGCUCGAUCUCCCACUCUAAAUAUCGAAGAAUUUAGAAUGGGAGGGUGACUACCUGUACCUUUUGGGUCAGGUAACACCCCAUCUACACAAGUCAACUAUUUGGUUGAAUUAUUUUACGGGCGUACGUCCAUGAAAUGAUUAAGUUACAUAUAGACUGGCCCAAGUAGGUGGACAACA
rnacentral:circRNA from 1 species